rnacentral:rRNA from 1 species
AGAGUUUGAUCAUGGCUCAGGAUGAACGCUAGCGGCAGGCCUAAUACAUGCAAGCCGAACGGCAAGAAUUCUAGCAAUAGAGUUCCUAGAGUGGCGUAAGGGUGCGUAACACGUAUGCAAUCUGCCCUCAACAGGAGGAUAGCUCCCCGAAAGGGGAAUUAAGACUCCAUAAUAUAAUUGGAUGGCAUCAUUUGAUUAUUAAAGUACAAGCGGUUGAGGAUGAGCAUGCGCAUGAUUAGUUAGUUGGCGGUGUAAAGGACCACCAAGACGAUGAUCAUUAGGGGAACUGAGAGGUUGAUCCCCCACACUGGCACUGAGAUACGGGCCAGACUCCUACGGGAGGCAGCAGUAGGGAAUAUUGGACAAUGGGUGCAAGCCUGAUCCAGCCAUGCCGCGUGCAGGAAGAAAGCCUUCUGGGUUGUAAACUGCUUUUCUCUGGGGAUAAAAUGGCCAUGCGUGGUUAAUUGAAGGUACCAGAGGAAUAAGCCACGGCUAACUACGUGCCAGCAGCCGCGGUAAUACGUAGGUGGCAAGCGUUGUCCGGAUUUAUUGGGUUUAAAGGGUGCGUAGGCGGUCAAUUAAGUCAGUGGUGAAAUACGGCAGCUCAACUGUCGAGGUGCCAUUGAUACUGGUUGACUUGAGUACUGAUGAGGUAGGCGGAAUGGACGGUGUAGCGGUGAAAUGCUUAGAGAUCGUCCAGAACACCGAUAGCGAAGGCAGCUUACUAAGGAGUAACUGACGCUGAGGCACGAAAGUGUGGGGAUCAAACAGGAUUAGAUACCCUAGUAGUCC